GAAUCUAAAAAUUAAAAUCUCCUGGCAAGGAAACUAUUUUCAGCGUGGCGAUUUGUCACCAUCUCUGCGACCAAGACACAGACUUUUCUGUCUUGAACUGCUGUUUUAUCUACAGAUUGGAAAUCAUUUUUUAGGAGCUGCCAAAAACUUGUUGUUUCUGAAGACAGUGAAAAAGUCAGUCAUCCUCCUUGGAGGCAAUAUGUUUAUGCAAAACUCUAUCAGUGUUUUAUUAUCCAUAAAAUUGCCUGGUCCUGCAUAAUUCAGCAAUACUUGACCAAAUGACUUCCAGCAGCCAAGGACGUGGAUUCUUUUCAGUGAUUUGCAUUUGAAAUGCCAAUGGCCAAAAGAUUUCUUAUCCUAAUCCAAUGGAGGAAAAACAACAGAACACAACUGGCAAGUGCUGGGCUUUGGAACAAAUGAUGAAUAAUUCCUGUUACUCUUAGGGCUACAAGACCUUAACGCAGCCCAAGAUAUGGCAUCAAACAACACUUAAAUUCAGUCCCAAGGAUGAAUGCAGCAGCUGUCUAACAGCAGAAAGGGAGAACUGAAAUAUUACAUCUGACAUUUUCAAAGUUGGUGGAGACAAGGAUGUUUAGUACAUCCUAGUUUAGGAAAUACAACUGUUUUGGGUUAGACCUUUUUAUCUUUUGUACAUCGCUCAUAUCUCCAGCAGCUGAUGCAUGUGAGGAGUGUCAGUAUGGCUUACCUCUUCCUGGAAUAACACCUUCCCAAGUGCCAAUAAACUUUAACUUAAGGACUUGCUAAAUUAAAGA
rnacentral:lncRNA from 1 species